CGAAAGCGCCAUGUACCACGCAUGUACAAUUCUUCGACGCCGCGUACGCUGUUUGCGAGCUCUAUGCAUUUCACCACAUGCCGCACGCGUAUGCAUCGCCAUUGGUGCAUUUAUCGGAGCACCUGCUAGGAAAAUUCCUAUGGAUACAUGGCGGCCGGGGAGUUUGGCUUGGAUUCUGUAAUAGAUGUGGGAAGUUUUGCCGAAGAGUUCCGCGAGAGACAAUGUCAGCCAACCCAAAUCCAAUGAGUCGUCCCUGCAGUGCGGCCUACCUGUAUAUCUACCAUGAUGCACUUGUUGUAUGACAUCUGUCAGAUUUCUAUCUGUUAGCACUUUUAGAAGUUCAUCGAUACAAAGUUACCGGCACUUCAAAUUGAAGUUCAAUUCUCGAUUGUUGAGUCCUAUCGAUUUAUAGUCUUUACCCAAUAUAAAACAAAGUCCGUUUGCCACAUGUAGUCUACAUAUACGAGUUGCUGUGUAGCUGGCACCUGUCAUACGACACAUACAUUUAGGCAUACAACGGACACCAAUCACUUGUCAAAGCACCUUUCUUAGUCACCGGCACCUAUCAUACCUUCAUAUAGGCCUACAUCGAACACGAAACACCUGUCAGAGCACAUUUCUUAGUCGCUGGCACCUUUCAUACCUCCAUAUAGACUUACACCAGUCACCAAGCACCUGUCAGAGCACAUUUCCUAGUUGAUGGCACCUAUCAUACCUCCAUAUAGGCCUACACCGGACACCAAGCACCUGUCAGAGCACAUUUCUUAGUCGCUGGCACCUAUCAUACCUCCAUAUAGGCUUACACCGGACACAAAGCACCCGUCAGAGCACCUGUCUUAGUCGCUGGCACCUAUCAUACCUCCAUAUAGGUCUACACCGGACACCAAGCACUUGUCAGAGCACCUUUCUUAGAAGCUGACACCUAUCAUACCUCCAUAUAGGCUUACAGCGGAAACAAAGCACCCUUCAGAACACCUUUCAUGGCGUAGCACGUUUUUAAUCCAACAUAAUUUCUUGCUGCACCCGAUGUCAAACACACUGAAGCACUGUAUCUGCUAGAGAACUUCCUUCAUAGUGGAUAUCUGGUCGUCCAUCUGCUGCAGCACAACUUUCACGACACCGCUACCUGUCCCUACCAAAGACAAUCAUCAUGAAGAAAUCCAUCCUUUUCGUUUCAGGAACACUCUGGGCUUUCUCUGUAUUCGUUGGAAAAUCAUGUCCCUCUGCGAUCUACCCGUUAAAUUCUGAUGAUUCAAAUGAUGGCGCCAUUUUGGAAAAGAAUAGUAACAAAUUAGAUUUACCACGUGAUAUGUCGCAGCCAAUCAUUGCCCGUUUCGCCAGGGAUGUAACAGGUAAUAUAUUUAUUAUUGUUUUCAUAUUACAUUCUCAAAGUCAUUUUCAUCCCUUCUCGAUCACUUGUCAUUUGGUAUACUCUCGUUACCUCCAUUCUUCUAAAGAAGUGUUUCUGAUU